rnacentral:rRNA from 1 species
GACGAACGCUGGCGGCGUGCUUAACACAUGCAAGUCGAGCGGUAAGGCCCUUUCGGGGGUACACGAGCGGCGAACGGGUGAGUAACACGUGGGUGACCUGCCCUCAGCUCUGGGAUAAGCCUGGGAAACUGGGUCUAAUACUGGAUAUGACUCCACGGUGCAUGUCGUGGGGUGGAAAGCCUUGUGCGGCUGAGGAUGGGCCCGCGGCCUAUCAGCUUGUUGGUGGGGGAUGGCCUACCAAGGCGACGACGGGUAGCCGGCCUGAGAGGGCGACCGGCCACACUGGGACUGAGACGCGGCCCAGACUCCUACGGGAGGCAGCAGUGGGGAAUCUUGCGCAAUGGGCGAAAGCCUGACGCAGCGACGCCGCGUGAGGGAUGACGGCCU